UACGGAGGGUGCAAGCGUUAAUCGAAAUUACUGGGCGUAAAGGGUGUGUAGGUGGCAAUGUAAGUUACUUGUGAAAGUCCCGGGCUUAACCUGGGUUGGACGGGUGAUACUGCAUAGCUUGAGUAUAGGAGAGGGUAGGGGAAUUCCAGGUGUAGCGGUGAAAUGCGUAGAUAUCUGGAGGAACACCGGUGGCGAAGGCGCCUACCUGGCCUAAUACUGACACUGAGGCACGAAAGCGUGGGGAGCAAACAGG
rnacentral:rRNA from 1 species